AACAGUAAGUGUUUAAUUAUGGCACAUCUGGAUGGGUAUCUAGGAAUUUAACACAUGCAAGUCUAAUGAUUCAUCUUGAAUCAUGGCGUACAGGUCAGUAAUAUAUAGGAAGAUACCCCAAGAAUCAUGCUAAUCAUGAAUAUAACAAAAGAGUUUAUAAUUCGUCUUGGGAUUUGCCUAUAUCCUAACAGGUAGUUGGUGAGGUAAUGCUUAACAAGCCUACGAGGGGUAGAAGAGGAUGAAAGUCCUAAUAGGUGUAAAGGAUACGUAGCCUGUGAUAAUAAUCACUAGAGUCAAAUAGAGGAACUAACAAUACCUAGAGAAGGGAUGAUAUCUUAUGAUACUAGGGGGAGAACCAAUGGCGAAAGCAUAGUUCCAGGUAAUGACUGACGGUAAGGUAUGAAGGCUGAGGCAGGAAUAAGGAUUAGAUACCCUAGUACUCUCAGCUGUAAACGAUGUAGAUUAGAGAUAUGUCUGAUUAGAUAUGUCUCCAUGCAAACGCGAUAAAUCUACCACCUGUAGAGUAUAGUCCCAUGGCUGAAAUACAAAUAAUUAGACGGUCUGUGAGCAAACGGAGUGGAGCAUGUUAUUUAAUACGAUAAUCCGCGUAAAAUCUUACCACAUCUUGCAUACGAUGAUAUCACUCCUAAGAGUGCAUCAGUACAGGUGUUGCAUGGCUGUCGCCAGCUCGUGUCAGUGAGACGUAUGGUUAAUUCCGUUAAACGAGCGCAAUCCUCGCCAUGAUUAUAUAGAUUCAUGGUCUCAUUCUGAUAAAGAAUGAUUUUAGGAGGACUAUGACAAGCCCUCAUGGCCCUUAUGGUGUGGGCUAUAGACGUGCUACAAGAAGACUGACAAUGUGUCGCAAUAUUGAAAAAUGGAGCCAAUCACUUAAAAAGUCUUAUUAUACGAAUUGUAUGCUGGAACUCGCGUACAUGAAGCAGGAAUUCCGAGUAAUCGUAGAUCACCACGCUACGGUGAAACUCAAUCUCACGGAUGUACUAACCGCUCGUCACGGGAGGAGAGACUUAUAACUAUGAAGUAGCAAUAGUAUUACUUUACUAAAGAUCCUUAUGAUCAGAUUAUUCAGCCGUUAGGUUUAAGUAAGUAUUAUAAUGUGUUACGAAUAGUCUCGGUUGAUUCUUCUGAAGUCGAAACAAGGUGACUCUUAGGGAACUAGGAGUCGAUUAAUAACUAUU
rnacentral:rRNA from 1 species